GACGAACGCUGGCGGCGUGCCUAAUACAUGCAAGUCGAGCGAACCUGCAGGAGCUUGCUCCUGUUGGUUAGCGGCGGACGGGUGAGUAACACGUGGGCAACCUGCCUGUAAGAUUGGGAUAACAUCGGGGAACCGAUGCUAAUACCGGAUAAUCCUUUUCCUCUCAUGCGGAAAAGCUGAAAGUCGGUUUCGGCUGACACUUACAGCUGGGCCCGCGGAGCAAUAGCUAGUUGGGGAGGUAACGGCUCACCAAGGCGACGAUGCGUAGCCGACCUGAGAGGGUGAUCGGCCACACUGGGACUGAGACACGGCCCAGACUCCUACGGGAGGCAGCAGUAGGGAAUCUUCCACAAUGGACGAAAGUCUGAUGGAGCAACGCCGCGUGAGCGAUGAAGGCCUUCGGGUCGUAAAGCUCUGUUGUUAGGGAAGAACCAGUAUCGGAGUAACUGCCGGUACCUUGACGGUACCUAACCAGAAAGCCACGGCUAACUACGUGCCAGCAGCCGCAGUAAAAC
rnacentral:rRNA from 1 species